UCGGGAAUUUUGGGCAAUGGGCGAAAGCCUGACCCAGCAACGCCGCGUGAAGGAUGAAGUAUUUCGGUAUGUAAACUUCGAAAGAAUAGGGAGAAUAAAUGACGGUACUAUUUAUAAGGUCCGGCUAACUACGUGCCAGCAGCCGCGGUAAUACGUAGGGAGCAAGCGUUGUUCGGAUUUACUGGGCGUAAAGGGCGCGUAGGCGGCGCGGUAAGUCACUUGUGAAAUCUCUGGGCUUAACCCAGAACGGCCAAGUGAUACUGUCGCGCUAGAGUGCAGAAGGGGCAAUCGGAAUUCUUGGUGUAGCGGUGAAAUGCGUAGAUAUCAAGAGGAACACCUGAGGUGAAGACGGGUUGCUGGGCUGACACUGACGCUGAGGCGCGAAAGCCAGGGGAGCAAACGGGAUUAGAUACCCACGUAGUCCCUGAGCGGGCUGGCAAGGCGCAU
rnacentral:rRNA from 1 species